rnacentral:rRNA from 1 species
CACGUGGGGAACCUGCCCCAUAGUCUGGGAUACCACUUGGAAGCAGGUGCUAAUACCGGAUAAGAAAGCAGAUCGCAUGAUCAGCUUUUAAAAGGCGGCGUAAGCUGUCGCUAUGGGAUGGCCCCGCGGUGCAUUAGCUAGUUGGUAAGGUAAAGGCUUACCAAGGCGAUGAUGCAUAGCCGAGUUGAGAGACUGAUCGGCCACAUUGGGACUGAGACACGGCCCAAACUCCUACGGGAGGCAGCGGA